rnacentral:rRNA from 1 species
CCUACGGGAGGCAGCAGUGAGGAAUAUUGGUCAAUGGACGAGAGUCUGAACCAGCCAAGUAGCGUGAAGGAUGACUGCCCUAUGGGUUGUAAACUUCUUUUAUAUGGGAAUAAAAUGUUCCAAGUGUGGGAUUUUGUAUGUACCAUAUGAAUAAGGAUCGGCUAACUCAGUGCCAGCAGCCGCGGUAAUACGGAGGAUCCGAGCGUUAUCCGGAUUUAUUGGGUUUAAAGGGAGCGUAGGUGGAUUGUUAAGUCAGUUGUGAAAGUUUGCGGCUCAACCGUAAAAUUGCAGUUGAAACUGGCAGUCUUGAGUACAGUAGAGGUGGGCGGAAUUCGUGGUGUAGCGGUGAAAUGCUUAGAUAUCACGAAGAACUCCGAUUGCGAAGGCAGCUCACUGGACUGCAACUGACACUGAGGCUCGAAAGCGUGGGGAGCAAACAGGAUUAGAUACCCCUGUAGUC